UUUUUCCUACGGGAGGCAGCAGUGAGGAAUAUUGGUCAAUGGGCGGGAGCCUGAACCAGCCAAGUCGCGUGAGGGAAGACGGUCCUAUGGAUUGUAAACCUCUUUAGGCGGGGAGCAAUGCCGGGCACGCGUGUCCGGAGGGAGAGUACCCGCAGAAUAAGCAUCGGCUAACUCCGUGCCAGCAGCCGCGGUAAUACGGAGGAUCCGAGCGUUAUCCGGAUUUAUUGGGUUUAAAGGGUGCGUAGGCGGUUUGAUAAGUUAGAGGUGAAAUGUCGGGGCUCAACCCCGAAACUGCCUCUAAUACU
rnacentral:rRNA from 1 species